rnacentral:rRNA from 1 species
GAUCAUGGCUCAGAUUGAACGCUGGCGGCAGGCCUAACACAUGCAAGUCGAGCGGCAUCGGGAAGGUAGCUUGCUAUCUUUGCCGGCGAGCGGCGGACGGGUGAGUAAAGUCUGGGGAUCUGCCUGAUGGAGGGGGAUAACUACUGGAAACGGUAGCUAAUACCGCAUGAUGUUACGCGACCAAAGCGGGGGACCUCCGGGCCUCGCGCCAUCAGAUGAACCCAGAUGGGAUUAGCUAGUAGGAGAGGUAAUGGCUCCCCUAGGCGACGAUCCCUAGCUGGUCUGAGAGGAUAACCAGCCACACUGGAACUGAGAGACGGUCCAGACUCCUACGGGAGGCAGCAGUGGGGAAUAUUGCACAAUGGGCGCAAGCCUGAUGCAGCCAUGCCGCGUGUGUGAAGAAGGCC